UACGUAGGGACCAAGCGUUGUUCGGAUUUACUGGGCGUAAAGGGCGCGUAGGCGGCGUGUUAAGUCACUUGUGAAAUCUCUAAGCUUAACUUAGAACGGUCAAGUGAUACUGAUGUGCUAGAGUGCAGAAGGGGCAACCGGAAUUCUUGGUGUAGCGGUGAAAUGCGUAGAUAUCAAGAGGAACACCUGAGGUGAAGACGGGUUGCUGGGCUGACACUGACGCUGAGGCGCGAAAGCUAGGGUAGCAAAUGGG
rnacentral:rRNA from 1 species